AGGUAUUGAUCCCAGAAGGUCAUCAUGAAGACAAAGCAAGAUGAAUGGAGGUUGGUUGAGACAGCUUGGGAUGAGUGCCCUUUUUUCCAAGGCUUGGCCCUAACUGCGCAUGGCAGUGCAGAAAGACUUAGGAACCUUAGAAGACGCAAAACGGUACGUUGCCCUCCAUGGCCUUCUACGUACGGCUUUGGCAGUCACAUGGCAUAGUGUAUUUCUCUGCAGUCAUCUUCAUAACCACCUCUUUACUGAUACUACAACAUAAGACAAAGUGGUUUUACAAAACAACAACCAACAGCAGUUGUGCAAUUAAACAAUAUACUCUACAAGUGGAGGAUAGGAAAAACAUAGAGCAUCUGCUGCUUAGCCGGGAGCAUGCAUGGGAACCCAAUGUCACAGCAGUAGCCCA